AAGUCGUAACAAGGUUUCCGUAGGUGAACCUGCGGAAGGAUCAAUCCUUAUAAUACAUAUUUAUAUGUAUGCAUUUUAUAUGAUGCCUAUUCUCCUCGGAGAAUAAGUGUAGUUGAAUUCAAACAGUUCGUUUGAUCAGCUAAAAAACUAAAAAAACACUUUUUAGCCAUUUGAAACGUAAAAAGUUUUUCACAACUAUUAGUGGUGGAUCACUUGGCUCGCAGGUCGA
rnacentral:misc_RNA from 1 species